UACAGAGGUGGCAAACGUUGUCCGGAUUUAUUGGGUGUAAAGGGCAUGUAGGUGGUUUUGCAAGUCAAAGGUGAAAUGGCCCGGCUCAACCAGGUCGUUGCCUUUGAAACUGCAGAACUUGAGUUCGGAAGAGGAGAGUGGAAUUCCCAGUGUAGCGGUGAAAUGCGUAGAUAUUGGGAGGAACACCGGUGGCGAAAGCGGCUCUCUGGUCCGAAACUGACACUGAGAUGCGAAAGCCAGGGGAGCAAACGGG
rnacentral:rRNA from 1 species